rnacentral:lncRNA from 1 species
AUGAAGACAUUUGCUGGGUUUCCCUGUUGCUUUAAUCAGUGGGCAUCCGACAGGUGCUUUCAUUUUCCUGGCCUUGAAAUCUUUCUGGAUGGGAUGUGGGAGAAAAAAAUUGCAAAUGCCUUUAGUUCACAAAUAAAUCUUUGCUCCCUUUCUUCUCUGUUUCUUUUUGGAUUCUUAGCACACUGCCUUCCUAUUCCCCUUCAACACACACUCACAUGUACAUGUGCACCUCCAAAGUUCUUGUUCUUUUUCUCCUAUCCAGGGUGGGAAGAAGCUCUCAACAUGAGCAAGCUGAUUUGCAGCCACCAUCCCUGCCAUGGGUGUGGGCACGACCUGACUGUCCUCAGUUUCUAUAGCACACAGAUAUUCUAAGAAGAGUGGAAUGGCACAGUUCUUGUGCAAAUGUCCAGAAGGCAUUGCGUGUGUGAAGAUGACACCAUGAGAAGUGGCGAGGAACCACUGUACCUCUGUGCAUGGAGUUUGUGGUAUCCUCAUCCACAGUGGAUCUGCAGAUUCAUUCCUGUUCCUGAGCGGGGCUACUGUCUUACCAUGUGA